CUACGGGUUGCACCAGUAAGGAAUAUUGCGCAAUGGAGGCAACUCUGACGCAGCCAUGCCGCGUGCAGGAAGAAGGCCUUAUGGGUCGUAAAUUGCUUUUAUUUAGGAAUAAACCCCCGAACGUGUUCGGGGCUGAAGGUACUAAACGAAUAAGCACCGGCUAACUCCGUGCCAGCAGCCGCGGUAAUACGGAGGGUGCAAGCGUUAUCCGGAUUUAUUGGGUUUAAAGGGUGCGCAGGCGGGCUAUUAAGUCAGUGGUGAAAUCCCGGGGCUCAACUCCGGAACUGCCAUUGAUACUGAUAGUCUUGAGUUUGGUUGAAGUGGGCGGAAUGUAGCAUGUAGCGGUGAAAUGCAUAGAUAUGCUACAGAACACCAAUCGCGAAGGCAGCUCACUAAGCCAAAACUGACGCUCAUGCACGAAAGCGUGGGGAUCAAACAGGAUUAGAUACCCUUGUAGUC
rnacentral:rRNA from 1 species